UCCUGUCUGCCACCGGGUAGGAAUGUGCCGGGAUUUUACAUCCCUAUAACAUUCAGCCACAUCAGUAGGUCUUAGAAGAUGGGCAAUCUUUUGUAAG
rnacentral:ncRNA from 1 species